UGGGGAAUUUUGGACAGUGGGGGCAACCCUGAUCCAGCCAUCCCGCGUGUGCGAUGAAGGCCUUCGGGUUGUAAAGCACUUUUGGCAGGGAAGAAACAGCCUGGGAUAAUACCCCGGGCGACUGACGGUACCUGCAGAAUAAGCACCGGCUAACUACGUGCCAGCAGCCGCGGUAAUACGUAGGGUGCAAGCGUUAAUCGGAAUUACUGGGCGUAAAGCGUGCGCAGGCGGUUCGGAAAGAAAGGUGUGAAAUCCCAGGGCUUAACCUUGGAACUGCACUUUUAACUACCGAGCUAGAGUACGUCAGAGGGGGGUAGAAUUCCACGUGUAGCAGUGAAAAUGCGUAGAGAUGUGGAGGAAUACCGAUGGCGAAGGCAGCCCCCUGGGAUGAUACUGACGCUCAUGCACGAAAGCGUGGGGAGCAAACAGGAUUAGAUACCCUGGUAGUCCACGCCCUAAAACGAUGUCAACUAGCUGUUGGGGGUUUAUUAACCUUAGUAGCGCAGCUAACGCAUUAAGCGCCCCGCCUGGGGAGUACGG
rnacentral:rRNA from 1 species